rnacentral:rRNA from 1 species
CAUCGGGUCGACCGAGAGAGUGCGAGCUGGAGGGUACUAGUGCUGGUCGCGGCUGAGCGAAAGAGCCCGGUGCCGUGACCGCGUCCUCGCCGACCCCUGGGCCGCCGCGGCGGUGUACAUAGGGGCAUAGCCCCGAGGGUCGGUCGAUCGGCCGAAUCGGUCUACCCGACGAAAGGUUGCCGACACCGUUGACGCCGGUUCGACCGAACGGUUCGUCGAUGCGGGAAACCAGGCGGACGGGGAAAGUCGAGAGGACGGACGGUUAUAGGCAGGGAGCGACGAAGAGGAGCCUCGGUGGGACCUCACCGGUGGGCUCAGCCCCUUUCAGAGACGGUCCAACUAAUAUCUCAUCGCGGUGCUCUUCACUGAGUGCCGAGGUAGGCCGGUACGUUUGCUUUGAAUAAAUUAGAGUGCUUAAAGCAGGCUGUCUUCGCCUGAAUACUGUGUGCAUGGAAUAAUGGAAUAGGACCUCGGUUCUAUUUUGUUGGUUUUCGGAACCCCGAGGUAAUGAUUAAUACGGACAGAUGGAGGCAUUUGUAUUGCGACGUUAGAGGUGAAAUUCUUGGAUCGUCGCAAGACGGACAGAAGCGAAAGCAUAUGCCAAAAAUGUUUUCAUUAAUCAAGAACGAAAGUUAGAGGUUCGAAGGCGAUCAGAUACCGCCCUAGUUCUAACCAUAAACGAUGCCAGCUAGCGAUCCGCCGAAGUUCCUCCGAUGACUCGGCGGGCAGCUUCCGGGAAACCAGCUUCUGGUUCCGGGGGAAGUAUGGUUGUAAAGCUGAAACUUAAAGGAGUUGACGGAAGGGCGCCACCAGGAGUGGAGCCUGUGGCUUAAUUUGACUCAACAAAGGAAACCUCACCAUGCCCGGACACCGGAUGGAUUGACAGAUUGAUAGCUCUUUCUUGAUUCGGUGGGUGGUGGUGCAUGGCCGUUCUUAGUUGGUGGAGCGAUUUGUCUGGUUAAUUCCGAUAACGAACGAGACUCUAGCCUGCUAAAUAGGCGUAACUUAUGCUAUCUCUAAGGCCCCCGUAGUUCUGUCGGGCGGUUCUUACUACCGACGUACAAACAAAUCUUCUUGGACUGACAGGCGGCUUCUAUCUGCACGAGAUUGAGCAAUAACAGGUCUGUGAUGCCCUUAGAUGUUCUGAGCCGCACGCGCGCUACACUGAAGGAAUCAGCGUGUCUUCCCUGGCCGAAAAGCCCGGGUAACCCGCUGAACCUCCUUCGUGCUAGGGAUUGGGGCUUGCAAUUAUUCCCCAUGAACGAGGAAUUCCCAGUAAGCUCCGUGAUUUUCGAGGACAUAGUGCGGAAUUUCUGAGCGAAUCGUUACGAAUUCGGUACCUCCGUGUGCGGAAUUUAAUAUCGAAUCGAUUGGUGUGCCUUUCAUUCGCAUUAAGUGAAAAAUU